CAGAAGUGGUGACAGUUCCAGAUCCCCCUGUACUACCUGGACCCUCUGUAGCAGCCCGUCCACCUGUAUCAGACUCCUUUGAUAAUGACGGCGACCCAGAUGACCCUGAGGCCCUCCAUGGUUUAGAUGUCUCGCCCUAUUCAUCAGAUCUAGAUGUACCCUCUUCAGAGCCCAAAUCAGUUGAUACGACUAGUAUCACCUCUCCAACUCCUUCAGACUCCCAAGCACCUGCACAUCCAACUCCAUAGCCCAGCCACUCUCAUCUACCAUAUGCCCAUCCCAGUUAGCAAGCCAACCACUAGAAUUUGACUGACAUGCACCUUGUGACUUACAUAAACCAGACCUCUACAUAGCCUACAUCUCUUCAUUUUGCUGAAGGCUGCCCAUCAUCCUAGCCUGUUAUCUGUGAUAAAGCACAUUGAAGUUAGGUAUGGAAUGCAUCCUUAUCAUUGCAGGCUUCCUACACAUGAAUGCUACUACACCUCCAUCUCCAUCUCCCACAACCUAGGUAACAGCUUUGAGACUCACUAAAAGUUGAAUCCCAGAACCCCCUGAAUGAUGUAGGCUAUGGGGCCACAUAAAACUUUGUCCAGGGUUACAUAGCACGACAACUUUAAACUAAAAAAACAACAAUAGUGUAUUUAAAUCACUCCAACAUGUAGUACACAUUAGUGUCACCAAAGGAUUACUACAAGAAUCUGCAUGUAUAGUGUCACCAGAGGAUUACAAUAAAGUUUAUACCUUCAAGAACCAUCCUUUUUGCAUUGAAAUAACCCCAGGUUGUGCAUAAAACGUACAUUAAACAACAUGCAUUGUACACAUAAGGAUUACAAGUAAGGUUUUUAUAACU